UAGUUUUCUCCAUUAUGCUAUUACACCUCUAUUACAUUCAACCAAACACAAUUUUACUAUUACGCCUCUAUUCCAUUAAAUUCAACCAAACAGUUGAUUUGCUAUUACACCUCUAUUCCAUUACACCUCUAAUCCAAUACACCUCUAAUCCAAUACACCUCUAAUCCAAUACAGCGAACCAAACGUGUUCUUAGUGUUAGAGAUGUGUGACUCAAAUCUUAUCACUUGUUAAAGAAAUAAAAUAAAGAGGCAAAAUAGAACCUUACCGCACAAGUUGAAUCCGUACAAGAGUAUACUUUUUCUAUUAGACAAUAAUUAUAACAGGGUUGUUUAAUCCUUAAAUAGAUGUAAUCGAACUUCUCUUGUUGUGUGUUUUUCAACAUAGUGAAUUUUUUUUAUUCUGCUCGUGUUUUUCUCGAUAAUGAUUUUCCAAAUAAAAUCUGUAUUUUUAUUUUUC
rnacentral:lncRNA from 1 species